rnacentral:rRNA from 1 species
UACGUAGGGUGCGAGCGUUGUCCGGAAUUACUGGGCGUAAAGAGCUCGUAGGUGGUUUGUCGCGUUGUCCGUGAAAACUCACAGCUCAACUGUGGGCGUGCGGGCGAUACGGGCAGACUGGAGUACUGCAGGGGAGACUGGAAUUCCUGGUGUAGCGGUGGAAUGCGCAGAUAUCAGGAGGAACACCGGUGGCGAAGGCGGGUCUCUGGGCAGUAACUGACGCUGGAGGAGCGAAA